CUGACCAGGAUAGCUGGUUUUCUGCGAAACCUAUAGAAGUAGGUAAUUUAAGUUACAUCAUAGCAGGUACAGAACUGUGAUCUCAGGCAACUUUAAUAAAUAAUAUAUUUAUUUGUAUUAUUUAUUAUUUUUGUACAUAUCGGGGGAUCGUGAAGAUUUUAUCGGUGAGUAUUCGCACUCGGAAGGGCAAUGAUGAAUAUUAAAUAAUCAGACAUAGUACGCUAAGGUUGUAUGUCUAAAGGGAAACAGCCCAGAACAAGAGUUAAGGUUCCAAAAUUAAUAUUAAGUGAAAUUAAGGAAGUUUCUAUCUAAUACGACUAGGAAAUAGGCUUAGAAGCGGCCAUUUUUUGAAGACCUCGUAACAGAGCACUGGUUCAGUAAAUAGUUUACUAUUUACAUUGAUAGUGGCACCGAAAAUUUAACGGAUCUAAAUAAUAUACCGACACCUUGUCCAUAUUAAAACAUAAUAUUAUAUAAUAUGGGGUAGCGGAACGUUGGGUAAAUUUUAGACUACUUCUUAAAAAGAUUUAGGAAUAAAUGACCCAAGUGACAAUGCUGACAUGAGUAACGAAAAAGGGGGUACACCCCCCUCGCCUAAAGCUUAUGGAUUUAUUAAAGUAACGGCCUCUAAGUUUAUAAACCUAAAG
rnacentral:ncRNA from 1 species